AUUUUUGCUCUGUUGUAAAAAUGUAAAUUGUUCCAAUUUUUUUCUAUUUGCUGUAACACUGAAAUUUCCCCACCGUGGGACGAAUAAAGGGCAUUCUUAUCUUAUCUUAUCUCAUCUCAAAGCUGUUUAAAUUUCAUCACAUCAGUCUCUAGUUCAGACUAAUGUCGGCUGGUUCUGCUUGUGACUGUCCACCAAACCAUGAACUUCGGAGGUGUGUUUAUGCUUUUCAAGCGCUGCAAUCGUCUCCAGCGUUUACUUUUAAUCUGAAGAACAUCUUCCUCACAGUCUUACUGCGUUUGUGAACACACAGACACAUGAAAGGUGGAGGAGGACGUGAUGUGCUCCUCCACUAAAGAGAGUUAGACAAUAGAAAGGCAACAAAUAAAAUUAAAAUUAAAAAAGGGGAAAGUUUCAUUCUGGAGUGCUGCAAGAUAUAAAUACAAGAAAUAUCUUUCCAGUAACUUGUAUUUGUAUCUAGUUGUUGACUCUCUUGGUUUCUCUGAGUCUGAAGGUCUGAAUUCCUAAACUACUGUCUGGUCCAUGCAGGUCUCCCCGGUGCUUACAGCUUUGGAGGGUCUCUGGUGUUCCAGCAGGAGUCGGUGCUCACCUCAUCAUCUCAGCUGUUCAGCAUUUAAGCUCUGCAGCUUCCAGUGUUCAUUGACAGAUCGUUGUCUACCUUUAGAAUCCUUCAACCACGAGUACCAACAACCAACCAUCUCUGGACCUCUCUGCUUAGCUGACUCACAGCCACAGACUUGGUUCUACCUGCUCACCAUGUCCUCCAGCUCCGGAAGGACAAAAGACCUCCGCUCACCUCCUCAUGUUUCCAGCACUUGGGUCCUUCUGGCCUCGUGAAACCAUAACAACGACUUCAGAAGUGUCGGCAACAGGAAGAGAGGAGCAGUGAAGACAUGGGAUUCAGAGGAGACCCCCCCCCACACACACACUACUGCUGUCACUGUUGUUUGAAUAAACUGUUAAUAAUUCAUUUUCUGCAUUUUUAUUGAACAUUUCAUAAUCCACUGUAACAUAACUCUAGCAGAUGAUUAUGACAUAACAUGAACAAAAACAGGAACCAAAGAUAUCAUCCAAGGAAACUAACGGCUCAGUCACUUUUGUCUCCUCCUUCAGAGGUCGCCUCAGCCAAUCAGCAUCAGCGCUUCACACAGGUGGUUUUUAAAUCUGAGUUAUACUGACAUGAAAAACCAGAUGUUCUAAAGUUUAUUCAUUUGAACUACUAAAAAUGCUUAGUUCAACAUGAAAUUAGCAAAAAAGAAAACAAAGAAAAA